GUGUAUGUAGCUCAGUGGUAGAGCGUGUGUUUUGCAUGCAUGAGGUCCUGGGUUUAAUCCCCGGUACCUCCA
rnacentral:tRNA from 1 species